GAUGAACGCUGGCGGCGUGCCUAAUACAUGCAAGUCGAGCGAACAGACGAGGAGCUUGCUCCUCUGACGUUAGCGGCGGACGGGUGAGUAACACGUGGAUAACCUACCUAUAAGACUGGGAUAACUUCGGGAAACCGGAGCUAAUACCGGAUAAUAUAUUGAACCGCAUGGUUCAAUAGUGAAAGACGGUUUUGCUGUCACUUAUAGAUGGAUCCGCGCCGCAUUAGCUAGUUGGUAAGGUAACGGCUUACCAAGGCAACGAUGCGUAGCCGACCUGAGAGGGUGAUCGGCCACGCUGGAAGUGAGACACGGUCCAGAAUACUACGGGAGGGAGCAGUAGCGAAUCUUCCGGGAUGGGAGAAGGCGUGACGGAGGGACGCCGCGUGAGUGAUGAAGGUCUUCGGAUCGUAAAAGUGUGUAAGUAGGGAAGAACGAAUGUGUAAGUAACUAGGCACGUCUUGAAGGUACCUAAGCAGAUAGGCACGGCUAACUACGUG
rnacentral:rRNA from 1 species